rnacentral:miRNA from 1 species
GUGGUAUUGCUGGGUCUUAAGGUAGGUUGUUUCCUAAUUUUCUGAGAAAUCGCCAACUGCUGGAGAGAUGGCUCAGCUGUUAAAGGCUAGGCUCACAACCAAAAAACA